rnacentral:lncRNA from 1 species
CUCCACUAACAAAACUGAUUAAAUUCCUAAGAACAAUCCAUAGGAGAAAAUACAUAUUUCUCAGGCUAUUAUUUAAAGGUCUUCAUAAUCCACUCAGUGCAUACCUUUCCAUUCUUAUCUCCCACUACUCCCCUUUGUGGAAAGGAAACAAGACUGACAGUUUGUGGGGGAAGGGCCCAAGUGGGAGUGGCAGUUGGGUCUUGUGACUAGCACUUCCUUCCUGCCGGGUGGGACUUGCAUCCUGGUGUUGGAGGAGAGGGGAGCUUGUUCAGCCCAGUCUGGAGAGGCAUGCUCUUCUUGGUUCAGCCGAAGACACAGGCUUCUAAAGGAGAAUCAACACCACUUAAGACACAUUGCUGGGGACUGGGAGAACAUAAUCUGGAUCUCCUGGCAAGUUGUGGCCAUGUGGGUGGCAAUCAAGGUUCUGUCUGCACAUUCAUCAAGGGGACAGAAAUUCAUCAUCUGAAGAAAAAGAAGUUGAAUUUCCUUAUCCAUGUAUACACUCAGAAAACUUAAGUAACUCAAUUGCUGAUCCACCAGUUGGAGAAUCAGACUCAUUAUUAUUCUUUUGUUAAAUCGGCUUUGCCCUGAAUGUAAAAGUUAAUACUCCAAGAAAAGCUGUUGCCAAAAUGCAGUUCUUAAGCAUUUCUUCCCUUUUCCUUAGUCAUUAAUGAAAAAUGGCACUGAAACAAUGCUCUUUUGUUAUUUAUUCCUGGUAUCUUAGCAGGGAAAUUGCCUGAAACAUUGACAGAAAAAAAAGAACACUGAAAAGGUCAGAGACAUAUGGCAAUACCAUUCCUGGAUCAUUAACAGUAUUCUCUGAGAUUGUGAUGCCAUUGAAAGACAUGUAGUUUUGUGUAGCUUUCAUAACAACAUGUGGAGAUUAACAAAUUACCGCCAGUAAAUAUUGUGCCUGAGGACCCUUGGAGGUAAUAAUGCAAGGCAACCACAAUGAUAUAGAUGGGACAAGGAGAACUUUGUCAUAGAUUAUUCAUUGCUUUUUGACACCAAGAUGUAUUUAAUAAACAGGCUGUAGAUGUGUAACA